rnacentral:rRNA from 1 species
AGAACGAACGCUGGCGGCAUGCCUAAUACAUGCAAGUCGAACGAACACUCUGACUUCGGUUGGGGUGUUAGUGGCGCACGGGUGCGUAACGCGUGGGAAUCUGCCCUUGGGUUCGGAAUAACAGUUGGAAACGACCGCUAAUACCGGAUGAUAUCGAAAGAUCAAAGAUUUAUCGCCCAGGGAUGAGCCCGCGUAGGAUUAGCUAGUUGGUGGGGUAAAGGCUCACCAAGGCGACGAUCCUUAGCUGGUCUGAGAGGAUGAUCAGCCACACUGGGACUGAGACACGGCCCAGACUCCUACGGGAGGCAGCAGUAGGGAAUAUUGGACAAUGGGCGAAAGCCUGAUCCAGCAAUGCCGCGUGAGUGAUGAAGGCCUUAGGGUUGUAAAGCUCUUUACCCGAGAUGAUAAUGACAGUAUCGGAGAAUAAGCCCGCUAACUCCGUGCCAGCAGCCGC